CAGCUGGGCACAGAUGCUGUCCCAGCCUGGAGUGUUUUUGGUCCCCAUCUGCCACUCUCUCUGAGCUCGAGAUCCGGUGUGGGACGAUGUGGGAACACCUUGUGCAGGUUAUUCUGGGUUAAGACGAGAGAGUCUCAACCAGUCUUUCUCUUUUCUUUCUUCUCUUCCUCUCCUGCUUAUCUAGCCUGCCAUGGGCAGCCAACACACUGGGCUUCCUAGAACCACAUCAUCAGGGUACCAACUGCCCCCUACCAGGCAGCUUGCCACAAUUUCCCCGGGCCGGGAUGGCCCGGCAGCAGGCAGGGCUCUCGUGGGUGGUUCCCAGGGGACUCUAGCCCCGGGUGUGCAGCAGGACCAGCUGUGGAGGGAGCUUGUGGAAGCCGAAGCGCGGGGCCAGCGGCGUUGGGCUGAGAAUUGGGGUUUCCUGAAGGACUAUGACCCUCUGCGUGUGACCUGGGAUGUCUCCUCCCCUCAGGGAAAUAAGAAGGAGCCUCAGGAGCUGCCUGCAAAUGUGCCCUUCUUCUCAGACACCUUCCCUUCCUCCACAAGCCGGGAAGUGGGCAGCAGGGUGGACACGCCUCUGGGG
rnacentral:lncRNA from 1 species